CGCUGAAUUCCCUCCUUUGGUCCUUAAAGAACUUCUGUUCUCAGUGAUUGGCCCCGGCGGAGGUAGGCCUAGACUUAAAGGGACUGCGCCCUCCAGGGGCACGCGGGAGGGAAGUGACCUGUGGAGUUUGUAGCGGAGUUGGACCACUAACAAGUUCCAGGGUUCCUUUUGGCGCUGGAAAAAAUUUGGAAGUCACCUGGCCUGGUUAUCCGCUAUUUUCAGAAGCCCAGAGAGACUGCGCCGCUGGUUCCAACUGCACACAGCGCUCCUCCUGCUCUUCCAGAAUCGAGGAAAGUUUGCUUCCCCAAGCAGGAGGACUGCAGAAGUGACCGGUGCUGAGCCAACCCCUCUCCACGCCUGCUCCCCUUUGGGCUCAGGGACCCCUGAUUCUAGGGCUGAGCCAGGGCCUGUGUGCAGAUGGAGGCAGAGCAAGCCACUCAGCAGGAGGCUACCAGCGUGAGGCUGUGGCUGGGUGGGGUGUAAGCUGAGCGGCCUCCCCUCACCCACCCCGCCUCUAAACCCCAGCACCUGGUGCGACUGAAAAUAACAGUAAUAACAGCCUUUUCAUCCACGCUACUUCACUGAAUCCACACAACAAGAUCACGAGGUGAGUACUAUCAUUAGUCCCAUUGU
rnacentral:lncRNA from 1 species